rnacentral:lncRNA from 1 species
GUGGCGUAGCAAGGGCAGACUUCAAGAUGGCCUGAAGUGCCCGGAGGAACACACUUGCAACGGGCACAGCAGGUUCCACAUGCCCUGUGACACAAGUUUGGCCUCGACGAUAACUGGCACCUGGCCUUGCAUGCAGCUCCACAGUCUGCAAAAAUUAAUUUACAAAAAUUUUAAGAUGAUACGUAAUCCAGUCAAACAGCAGUGUGUGUAUGUGCCGCGCGAUUGAUGAUAAAUUUAAUUACCAAUUGUUGGAGUGGGAUAACUGCUAUCUCCUUCGUUUGUGUUAACCUGAGCGAUUCAUGUUAUUUAGUUAAUGUGUAAAUAAUAACUCCCUCCAAAAUCAAUUGAUUGAGCGUCUAACAAUUAAUAAUUUGUUAUAUAGAAACUGAAACUUUACCAUCUGAUCAGCUGCAACAAGAUGGAGAACAAGAAUAAGUGAGAGGAGAAUUGAAGCAAUGAAAGCCUUGGACGACGAGAUGGCCAUGGCUAGCUUAAAUGCUAGAAACUAUUGAAAGUAGGGCUUUGAUCGGAGUAACUGAUACCUAGCUAUUUGAAAACCUAAAUUUUUCUUUUUAUUUUUGGUGCAAAAAUGAGAGCAAAGAUGUGGGUAUUUAUAGCGUAAAUAUCAGAUGGAAAGACAGGAGAGCUUGCAAUAAAUUAUAAGAGAUAAGAAGGCCAGGACUGGGAAGGUGCAUGCGUGUUAACUAAGGAGAUUCUCAUGGUUUAAUUUUGUACGCUUACUAAGCUUUUUCCAAAAAAGGAAAAAGUCAUGGGCCUAUCGACUGAUCGACAUAUAUGAUAAUAGAAUCACUCGUCAUGAUUAUCUGGCGAAGAAAUGCCAUUUGGAAUCGUUCGGAGAGAAGCUAGCAUGUUUUAUUGCAUGGCAACUUUGCUUUUUCAUUUAUCUCUUGGCUUAAUUUUAAUUGAAGUGUACAGUACAAGAGAUGGGGAAAACAUUUUCCAUGAAACCUUAACACAGUGUCAUCGUUAACACGGAUAACUCGGGCUUUAGUUGGACUACUUUGACUGUUUGUCAGAGUCAGCCAAUAUCCUCCCACAUUUCUUCAAUAUUCAUAGUAUUUAUCACAUUAAAUCAUCCAAGGAGAACUUGAAUACUUAAUUAGUAGUAAUCACCCAGCCGAUAAGUUUAAAAUGAAAAGAGAAUGGCAAUAAUUGAAGAGUUCGUAUUUAAUGUACUUCAAUUAUAGUCGCUGUGCCCAACUUCACAUCGCCUUUUCUGCAUUAUUUAGUACAUAUAUUAAAAUCCAUUUUCUUUUUUAUUUCUCGCACAACAAUAUAUUCCUUCUGCUACUUACCUAACCUAUCCAACUGGAGUCCAUACGACCAAACAAAUUAUUUAUGAAUUUAAUCAAAUCCAAACACGGGAAAUAAUUAAAGCUGGCUCCGCUACUCAUUACUCACAAAUUAAAAUUGGAAUAAUGCCUACCUAGUUCAUUAUCAUUUAUUAGUGCAGGCCUUUCUAGGGUUUUAGGUUUGUUGAGGGAUUCCGCGGUUUGCCAGCCAAGACUCAUAAUUAUUUGUAUAUCCUUAUGAUAAAGAAUAAUGAUAUGCUUUACAAAAUUUGUAUCUUAAAUAAUGUGUAUCAUGUGGUAAUAGAUAAUUUCUUAUAUCAUAAGUUUGAUACUCAUUAAGUCAUUGAUGAACUUAAAACAUUAAAAUUGCACAAUUGUUAUAAAGUUUAAAAUGUGCAAUUAAUCUUAGUCAUUAUAUAGUUUAUAUUUGUAAGAAUUAUUACAGAUCAUUAAUUUCCUUUCUUAUAGUACAAGCUAAUAUUAGUGUUAUUACUAAUUAGUGACAUACCAGGAAAAUGGAAGCAGAUUGUAGGAUAAAUGAAUACCAGAUAUCGUUAUAGGAAAGCCUAAGUGAACUUGAUUAAGUUACGUUCUAAUCAAAAUAUGAUUAGAUUUCGUUCUAACCUAAACAACUCAAUGAAAUUUUGAUAACGCUUUGCAGCAAAAUUAGAUGAUGUUAUAAUCCAAAUGACUCGAUAGAAGAUAUUUUGAUAGAUAAUCUCAAAAGAAAUUGUAAAAGAGGAGUUUUUAUUAAUAAAAAAAGUUAUUCUAAAACAAUGACAAUACAUUUUUAUUUAUAAUAGAGUAAACAUACUUUUCCAAGUUAAUUUAAAUAAGAAAACUAUAUCACAAUAAUAUUGAAAAUGAAAGACCAAAAACAAAUACCAUAGUUGACUCAAAUUAAAAGGAAAAAUAAAAAAAGACCUAAAAUAAUAAACUCUAGAAUCUUCUAGACACGUUCUAUAUCAUUCUCCCCCUUUUAAAGCAAACUGGUCUUCAAGUUCCUCCCGAUGAUAAAGAUGAUAAACUUGACGUGGAGCAUCAAUGCAUCCUAGAGCUUGAACUUGUAGCUUGUUUCAUCAAUCUUCCUUGAAGCUUGAAAAUCUUCAUGCUUUAUUUUCUUCUUUAUCUUGUUAGUCACUCUAAAAAUAGGUGAAAUUUUAUGUGAACGAAUCAUUUCUAUACCUCUCAAGUCUUUUGCUUAACUCACUCAAUGUACUCACUAAUUAACUUUUAUCUAGAAGGGCAAAUUCUCUUUUAAGAGUAGACUUCUUGUCUUCAAUGUGAGAGGCAUAAUCAUUUCAAUUAUUGUUGGGGUCUCUUCAACUUGACUUUACUGCACAAAUUCAAUUAUAUUAUUAAAUUUAAUGUUUAAAUUAAUAGUAGGUUGUACCUCUUCUUUAAAAAUCUCAAAUCAAUGCGACCAUUAUCUUUUACUUUUAUUGAUUUUAAAAGAAAUGUUCUACAUCAUUAUAGUAAAAAAAAAAACCUAUCUUCCAUCAAUUGCCUUAUAUCAAACUAUUCAUUUAUUUAUUUUGCCUUUGUUUAAUCCUUAAUUCUUGUAGUUGCUUCUACUAAUCUAAAGUAUCACCUAUCAACUUAAAUGAUACAUGGGAGAUAGUAACUUUCGACAAGACAUUUUGAAGAAAAUCUUCCAUUAUGCAAAUUCAGUAAAAAAUAUCACCAUGUUAUGAUCAAAAUCUGGGACAUCUUUGAUUCAAGGAGACAAUGCAACCCUUAAUAUUCUGUCUUUAUCAUUCUUUUUCAAAUUAAAAAUAAAAUCAAUAACAAAACUAUAAAUAUCCUUAACUCUUAGCUAUAGGUAUUGCCAACGCGUCUGGUGGCCUUGAUUUAGAGUCAUGAGGGUUAGAUCUAGUAGAUAUGAUGGCAAGGAAUGCAACAAUGGCUACAGAUUGAUCAGAAUCGAAGUGGUUUGGUCAGAAAAGGAACUUGUGUUGGUGACGACUUAUGUUAGUUUGGCAGCGGUUCUCGAUUGAAUUUGGACGAUGGCACUUAGGAUCUGUUUAGUGGCUUGAGAAACCUGUGGAGGUUUUACGGCAAUGAACCGGUGGAUCGCUUGCAGGUUUGGGUGAUUUGCUGCGGUUCUAGUGGCAGCUACUGACUCAAUUGUGUGAAGUGAGGUUGGUAGCGGUGACAAUGGUGGUAGGUGUGGGAUUUUUGUUGUGUUUUUUAAUUUUUUGGAUAAAUGGCGAUGGAGGAUUCGUGGUGGAUGGAUAUGAUAGUCCAAAAAGUCGUGAUGCCACAGUUUUGCUUGAUAACCAAAAUGAUGUAGUGGGGUAGUUAAGAAAUGAAUUGAAAAGAUAAAUGAAAAUUAGAUAGGCUGGCUAAAGCAAAUACUUAGGUUACACUUUAAUUAAAGUCUGAUUAAAUUUUAUUAUAGCCUAAAUAAUGUUAGGAGAUUUAGGUAAGGUUUUAUAGUAAAAUUAGAUGAUGUUCUAAUUUAAAUGAUUUUAUUAGAGAAAUUUUGAUAAAUAAUCUUAAAAAGAAUUAUAAUGAUUUUUUUAUUAAUUAAAAGAUUAUCUUAAAAUAAUAACAAUACCUCCCUAUUGAUAGUUGGGUAAACUUACUUCUCCAAAUUAACUCAAAUAAGAAAAUUAAAACACAAGAACAUUGAAAAAAAAAAAAUUAAACUAAUUCCAUAAUUGACUUAAAUUAAAAAAGAAAAUAACAAAAAGACCAAAAAAAAAAAAAAAACUCCAGAAUCUCAAUUAAUAUGAAACAAAGUUAUGAAAGAGUCGUCUCUAUAUAAAAUACAUGCACAAUCUGAAUUCUUUUGCACCAUUUUACUUUGCGUAGAUCAUUUUAUAUAGCACUCAAUUACCAUAAAAGACUUUGGUAUUUACUUCUGAUAAUCACGAUCGUCAAAACAAAGCAACAAUAGCUUUUAGAUCAUCUCUUAUACUCAAUGAGUAUAGUUUUCACCGCCCGAGACGAUGACUCUUUGAUUUUAGAACCACAAAAUUUGCUUGAUUCUCCAAAUAGCAUAGAUUUAUCUUUACUUGUCCGUUGCUUUAAAUCUUUAUCUUUACAUUGUAUGUACAAUGUACGUGCAAUAAAAUAUGUUCUGUAUAAUUAAUUAUAACCAUUUAGUGUAAGUUCAUAAUAUCUUUCAACUCCGAAUACCAUAGAUUUUUCUUGAAAAAGAAAAAAGAAAAAAGAAAAAAGAAAGAAAAAUAAUGUUUUAUUACAAAUUAAUUUUAAAUACUGACACUGGGUUAGUGUACUUAUGCCGAGGAGAGGGCAUCCGUUCAAGUUUCAGUAGUGUAUAUUACAGUAAUAUAGCAUAAUGAUAAUAUGAUAAAAGAUAUUUAAAUUGUGUUAUAAUAAAAAGAAUUUAUAGGUUAGUUUUAAACAUUCAGUAGGUUUUUAAUCGCAUUAUUGGUAUUUAAAAAAGAAAGUCAAUUAAAUAUCUUCCAAUUAUUAAGUACGAUUUUUUAUUUUUUAUUUUUAUUGGAGGAAUAAUGAGAGUACGAUCGAAGACAGGCAGCGGAAGUUGCCAACUUAUUUAGGUCACAGAGAUACUAGGCCACACGUGCCCUAAGGGGAAGUGAUUGGUUUUGAUUUUUGAAGCUCAAAAGCUUUUGUAGACAGAGUGGGACUUGACGGAAAUGAUAAAAACUCAUUACGAAGUAGACUUAGACCCUCACACUCACAGGCCUCACAGCUGUGCAAAAGUGAACCACAGCUGUACUCCGCUCAUGCAGUUAAAUCAAUGCAAGAUGUUUAGGAUAAGCACAAGAGGCGGAACAGACAUCUAAAUAAUUAAUCUCAAUCAACUUUUAAUAUAGUUAAGACCUUAAUCAAUAUAUAUUGAGGUGGUAUAAUUUUUGAAUUACAAUUGUUGUAGAAAAAAUUAUAAUUAUAAAAUAAAAAUUAAUAUUAUAUAGUAAAUAAAAUUUUUAAAUAAUAAUUUUAAUAAAAUUAAUAAAAAUAUAAUAAAUUUUUAUCAUAUAAAGGUAAAAUUAAAUUAAUCUAGUUUUUAAAUUAUAAUAGUUAGUGUUUACAAAGCGUUUUAAUACUGUCCAACUUCAAUCCCAAACGAUAUCUAAAAUUAUAAAUAUUUGUUAAACACUAUAAUAUUGUGUUUACAAAAUUAGAAUGAGAAUGGACUGAAAUUGGAAUAGAGAAUGGAAAUUAGAAUAAGUUAUUUACAUAAACUGUAGGAAUCGGAAUCCGAAUCCAAAUGAGUUAGAUUGCCAUUAAUGUAUUUAUUUUAUCUUAGAAUUAAAAUAAAAAUAAAUUAAAUUGUUACAAAUUACUAAAAAGUCCUUUAUAAUAAUGACAAUAAUAUUCUAAAAUUAAUAUUUAGGUAAUUUAGGAAUAAUAAUAAAAUUCACAAAUUCCUUAGAAAUCAAUCUAUCAUUUUCCAUUCUCAAAUUUGAGUAGAGUCCACAAUUCUAAUUCUAAUUCUUUCUUUUAUUUUGUAAAAUAAACGCUGUUAAUGAUUCCGAUUUAUUAAUUUGUGAAAUAAAAAUUACCUAAAAUUAUAUGGAUCAACUAGACACCGAUUCGAAAAUGUAGACCUUAAACCUUUGAAGCAGUUUUUAGGUAGAUGUGAAAAUCAAAUGAAAUUUUUGCUUCAGUUUGGUUUCAUCGUUUUCCAUCUUAUCUCCACAAAAAGUCGACGUAUAGUUAUGCAACAACGUAAUGUUUCCGAGCCAUCUUUUUUAAUAUUUACUAAGGCGGGCUAUUAAAAAUUGACGUGGGAAUUAGAAGUGUUACCAGUCCCAAAAAAUCCUCAUCAAACCCAUUUAUUUAAAAAUUAAAAUACCCUACUAGUAAUUCACAAAAUAAUAUAUUAUUUCUUAACUCACAUAUUUUGAUUAAAAAAAAAAAAAAACUCCGUCUACGCCCAUACUUAAGUCUUAACUCAUCCCUCUUCCCACUUUCUCUCUCUUCUUUUUCUCAGUUUCAUUUUUUUUUUUUUUUCAUACGAAUAAUUUGUUCACCACAAAUAAUCAACCUCUCACAUUCUCGAUUUAACAUCCCAUAUGUUUUUCUCGUUCACUUGCUCUUGAAAAGACAAGAAAAAACAAAUUAGCAUUGUAAAUAUCUACGAAUUGCACUAAUCCUGUAUUUUUGUUAGAGAACUAGUUUAAUGAUAAUAUUAUAUUUGUUAGAGAACUAGUUUUCUUCUUUACACCCACAGAAAAGUUUGUGACAGCAUAUGAACAUUCAAACAUGACCAAAAAUAGAAUAAAAUCCAAUAUUAAACCUAUGAAGAAAAAUGGAAGGAAAAAACUGUAAUUAUCAAAUUUUAAGCAUGAUAAUAUGAUGCGUUGAGAUUUCAUCUUAAUUAAGAAGAGAUGAAGAAGAAACAUUAAUAAGAACUGAGAAACCUUACUAAGUAUUCCACUCAAUUUAUCCUGAUGAAGAAAAAAUGUGAAGAGACAAAAAGUUAGGAAUGGAUAAUGAAUUAUUCAUUUGAUUUUAUUUGUUUUUCUUUCAAAAGUAUACGAAUGAUCGAUGCUGUAUUGAUACAAGCGCGAACUGAUGGCCAUCCUCAAAGAGAAAGACAAAUCGGCCAAAACUUUCAGAUUUUUAAUAAAGUGAUUUCUCUGAAUCUUCUGUUUUCAUUGUCGUUUUAUGCAAAUUUUGAAUAGGGACAAAUUAACUGAAACUAAAUCAAAGGGGUUUACGAGCGGUGACGAUAGCAGUAUAGCACACCACUCGGCAACUAAUUAAUCAUUUAUUGUUGUUAGAAGAUAACAAACACGACACAAAGUAGACAAUUUAAAAAGGAGAAGAAACCUCUUAUUAUUAUUCUCUCGAAACUUAUGUAUCCACAAAUAAGUAACAUGAAAUGGAUUUAUUUAUUUAUUCAUAGGAAUAUGGAUCAACUCUGUUUUCCUGGCCACAGGCAACACACACGCACACACACAUAUUUAUACAUAUAUAGAGAGAAGAGAGAAUGUAAGCUCCAAAAAAAUUAAUUAAGAAAGUAGACGACGUCCUUUCAACUUAAAAUAUUUCAAGGGCACUUGCGUCUGCCAUGGUGGGUGGUCAUAUUGGCGUAGCAAGGGCAGACCUCAGUGUUGCCUGCAGUGCCUGGAGGAACACAAUUGCAACGGGCGCAGCAGGUACCACAUGCCCUGUGGCACAGGUUUGGCCUCGACGAUAAUCGGCACCUGGCCUGGCAUGCACCUCCACAGUCUGAUUGAUUAGACAAAAAAAAAAAAAAUCAGAUUAAUCAGCUGUAUAUGAACAUUAAUUUAAUCGAAGCAAACAGAAACAGUAGUAUUAAUUUG